GGGCCCAGCCGCUUCGCGGCAUGUGGGAUCUUCCCGGACCGGGUCACGAACCCGUGUCCCCUGCAACAGCAGGUGGACUCUCAACCACUGUGCCACCAGGGAAGCCCUAAAAUUCACUCCCUUAAGCAUUAUCAGGCCCCAGCUGGCGUCAGGUGGCUCAGCAACCGGGUCUGGUGUCCCUGAAGUUAUCACCCUGACCUUCUUUCUGAAAUGAAGAGUGCUACAACGGAGGGUAGUGGGAGAAGAAAUGCCAGGGAGUCAGGAAAGUCAACUGCUGACCAAGUAAGAGCCGCUGCUGACUCUGCUUCCUGAACAAAUUCAUGGCCAGAGCUGGUGUCAGGUGGCUCAUCAGUGGGGUCUGGUGUCCCUGAAGUUAUCGGCCAGUGACCUUCUUUCUGAAAUGAAGAGUGCUACAAGGGAGUAUAGGGGGAGAAGAAAUGCCAGCAUGGAAUUACCUCCAAGAUUUACUGUUGAAUAAAGAAAGCAAGUUGCAGAAAAGUGUGUGUGAUACAAUCUCAUCAUGAACCAAAGAAUGUCUCCACAUUCAUCUUUGUCCAGAAGAGGAAACUGACGUCCAGAGAAAGGGCCUUGCCCAAGUCCAGCCAGGAGGUUAGCAGCCAGGAGGUUAGCAGGGCAGCAGGAAGCAGAUGAGAGAGCAAGACUGGGAGAGACCAGAGGGUUGCCACUUGAGCCUGAAUUUCCAAUCUGCCCAGAUAAAGAAGAGAGGAUUUGGGAGGGAAUUCUACUGGAGUGAUGGCUCGGAAAAAGGCUCACUCCCGAGAAGAUCCUGAUGAAGGAAGAUUGUUUUGAAGAUUAACCAAAGAGCACUCGGCAGCAUUAUUUCACAGAACCCCUACCCUGGGCUAUCUGCCCGAGAAUGAUUGGUCAAAGAAAUUGGCAUUCCAAAGGACUAAUGUCAGCAUCAUGUGGCAUAAAUCACUUUCCCUCUCCUUUUUUAAGCAAAAAAUUAAAUGUCCAUAAUGAAACAAAAGUGCCUCCACACAUUACACCAAUGGAUCCUGGAGGUUUCUAGCCUACCUGUGCAUCCAAAAAUAAAUAAGACCCCAGAAAGGACUGCAGAUCCAAAGGAGUUGUCAAACCUGCCCUACCCCAGCUCACCAGGCAGCCAGGAAAUAAAAUGUAACCUACAAAGGAACCCCUAUUAGGCUAUCAGUGGAUUUCUCAGCAGAAAUUCUACAUACCAGGGGGGAGUGAAAUGACAUAUUCAAAGUGCUGAAAAUGAACAUUUUCACCCAGGAAUACUUUAUCUGGCCAAAUUAUCCUUGAUAUAUGGAGAAAUAAAGGUUUUCCUAAACAAAAGCUAAGGGAGUUCAGCAACAUUAGAUUUGCCAUGCAGGAAAUUCCGAAAGGAGUUCCUUGAGUUGAAAUAAAAAGAUGCUAAUUAAUAACAUGAAAACAUAUGAAAGUACACAACAAUCUGAUAAAGGUAAAAAUAUAGACAGAAUCUGAAAACUGUUUUCUAUAUUAGAAUGGUAUCUUAAGUAUAUAGUAUAAAGGUUAAAAAAGUAUUAACAACUAGUUAUUAUAAUUUGUUAACAAAUAUACAACAUAAAGAGGCAAAUUUUGAUGUCAAUUAUAUAAAUGGAGAGGAGUAAAAGGAUGGAGAUUUUACAGGUGAAUAAAGAUAAAACUACAUUUUAUGCUGAUAGCAAUUUAUCAAGGAGAUGUUUUAUAUAACCCCUCAUGGUAACCAAAAGCAAAAAUGUAGAGUAGAUUCAUGAAACGCAGAAAAACAGGAAGGCAGAGCAUACCACCA